rnacentral:tRNA from 1 species
GGAUGGGUGGCCGAGUGGUUUAAGGCAACGGUCUUGAAAACCGUCGUGGGCGCAAGUCCACCGUGGGUUCGAAUCCCACCCCAUCCGCCA